GCUUUGGAUGCAGAAGGGGUGGGGAAAACGGCGCACCCAGUCUGCUCCCGACCGCCGCGCGACUCAGUCAUGCCGUGAGCGCACACAAAUGACACGCUCGCGACUAAAACACACAGUUUCAUUAACCCCGAGUUAUUGAGUGCUAAUUCUGCAAGGACUCAAGGAUUGUUCCCGUUUUUUUGUGUUCAAUAAAAACUUCAACGCAAAGAUUUUCUGCUGCUCCAUUAGGCGCGGCCAUGUGUCUCGGGCGCGCUGCCGAUGGCGCGGGCUGAGCGCGCUCGGCUAGGCGCCCAUGCGCGCCUGCCUCCUGCUG
rnacentral:lncRNA from 1 species